rnacentral:rRNA from 1 species
CCUCAGCAGUGGAGCAUGUUAUUUAAUUCGAUUAUCCCCGAUAAUUUUACCAUAUUUUGAAUAAUAUAAUUAAUUUAUUUAAUUAUUAUUACAGGUGUUACAUUGUUGUCUUUAGUUCGUGUCGUAAGAUUUCAGAUUUAUUUCACUAACGAACGAAACUCCAUAUAUAUACAUUAUAUUAUAUAUAUUAUUAUAUUUAAAUUUAUAAAUUUAAUAAAAAGGAAUUAAGACAAAUCAUAAUGACCCUCAUAAUCAUGGGCUAUAGACGUGCUAUAUUAAAAUAUGAUAACAAAAUUAUAUAAAAUUUUAUUCAUUUAAUUUAAUUAAUAAUACAAAACAUAUUUAGACAUUCAUAAUUUUUAUUAUGAUAAUGUUAUAUGAAUUAUAAUCUGAAAUUCGAUUAUAUGAAAAAAGAAUUGCUAGUAAUGCGUAAAAUAUCAUGUUACGGUGAAUAUUACUUCUGUUUCGUACUAAUUACUCAUCACGUAUUGAAAUAAACUAGGAUCAUAAUAUAUUAAUAUUAUAUAUAAAUUUUUUAUUUUUAUAAAUAUUUUUAUUUAUAUUUAUUAAUAUCCCUGAACGACGUUAGA